rnacentral:rRNA from 1 species
UACGUAGGGUGCAAGCGUUGUCCGGAAUUAUUGGGCGUAAAGAGCUCGUAGGCGGUUCAGUAAGUCGGGUGUGAAAACUCUGGGCUUAACCCAGAGCCGCCACUCGAUACUGCUGUGACUUGAGUUCGGUAGGGGAGCAGGGAAUUCCUAGUGUAGCGGUGAAAUGCGCAGAUAUUAGGAGGAACACCGGUGGCGAAGGCGCUGCUCUGGGCCGAUACUGACGCUGAGGAGCGAAAGCGUGGGUAGCAAACAGG